UCCCUGGUAGUAUAUCGGUUAGUACACGCGCCUGUCAUGGGCCUUAUCAUGGACUUCGAUAUUGAGUCGCGCGAAAGCUGGGUUCGACUCCCAGCCAGGGAG